rnacentral:rRNA from 1 species
AAUCAACGCUGGCGGCGUGCCUCAGACAUGCAAGUCGAACGAUUAAAGCUCUCUUCGGAGAGUGUAUAGAGUGGCGCACGGGUGAGUAACACGUAAGUAAUCUACCUUUGAGUGGGGAAUAACCCGGGGAAACCCGAGCUAAUACCGCAUAAUGCAGCGGCACCGCAAGGUGACAGUUGUUAAAGGAGCAAUCCGCUUAAAGAGGAGCUUGCGGCAGAUUAGCUAGNGGUAAGGUAAUGGCUUACCAAGGCUUCGAUCUGUAUCCGGCCUGAGAGGGCGGUCGGACACACUGACACUGAAUAACGGGUCAGACUCCUACGGGAGGCAGCAGUCGGGAAUUUUGGGCAAUGGGCGAAAGCCUGACCCAGCAACGCCGCGUGAAGGAUGAAGUAUUUCGGUAUGUAAACUUCGAAAGAAUGGGAAGAAUCAAUGACGGUACCAUUUAUAAGUCCGGCUAACUACGUGCCAGCAGCCGCCGUAAG